CCUACGGGAGGCAGCAGUGAGGAAUAUUGGUCAAUGGACGCAAGUCUGAACCAGCCAUGCCGCGUGAAGGAAGACGGCUCUAUGGGUUGUAAACUGCUUUUGUACGAGGGUAAACGCAGAUACGUGUAUCUGUUUGCAUGUAUCGUACGAAUAAGGAUCGGCUAACUCCGUGCCAGCAGCCGCGGUAAUACGGAGGAUUCAAGCGUUAUCCGGAUUUAUUGGGUUUAAAGGGUGCGUAGGUGGUUGGGUAAGUUAGUGGUGAAAUCUCGAGGCUCAACUUCGGAAUUGCCUCUGAUACUGUUCGGCUAGAGAGCAGUUGCGGUAGGCGGAAUGUAUGGUGUAGCGGUGAAAUGCUUAGAGAUCAUGCAGAACACCGAUUGCGAAGGCAGCUUACCAAGCUACUACUGACGUUGAGGCACGAAAGCGUGGGGAGCAAACAGGAUUAGAUACCCUUGUAGUC
rnacentral:rRNA from 1 species